rnacentral:rRNA from 1 species
CUAAUUCCAGUUGAUCCUGCUGGAGGGUACUGCUAUCAGAAUUCGACUAAGCCAUGCAAGUCUACCCCUUCUGCAAGGAGGGGUGGCAUACGGCUGAGUAGCGAGUGGUCAAUCUGCCCUAAGGAGGGGGAUAACCUCGGGAAACUGAGGCUAAUACCACAUAGGUUAUGGAUGCUGGAAAGCUUCAUAGCCCAAACAGCGUGGCGAAAUGCAGCCAUGUCUGCCUUAGGAUGAGACUGCUUCCGAUUAGGUAGUUGGUGGGGUAACGGCCCACCAAGCCGAUAAUCGGUGGGGGCAAUGGGAGUUGGCGCCCCCAGAGGAGCACUGAGACAAGGGCUCCAGUCCUACGGGAUGCAGCAGGCGCGAAACCUUCGCAAUGCGCGAAAGCGUGACGAGGGGAUUCUGAGUGAUGCUCCACGCGAGCAUCUUUUCGUAAGCUUAAGGAGCUUGCGGAAUAAGAGCUGGGCAAGACCGGUGACAGCCGCCGCGGUAACACCGGCAGCUCGAGUGGUAUCCACGAAUAUUGGGCUUAAAGAGUCCGUAGCUGGCCCGCUAAGUUCUCUGUGAAAUCUUCAAGCUCAACUUGAAGGAGUGCAGAGAAUACUGACGGGCUUGGGAGCGGGGGAGGCCAAGAGUACUCACGGGGUAGGGGUAAAAUCCGUUAAUCCUGUGAGGACUCCCAGUGGCGAAGGCGCUUGGCCAAAACGCGUCCGACAGUGAGGGACGAAGGCUAGGAGAACGAAUCGGAUUAGAUACCCGAGUAGCCCUAGCAGUAAAUUAUGCAGACUGUGGUGUUGCCAUAGCUUAGUGCUGUGGCAGUGCCGUAGCGUAAGUGUUAAGUCUGCCGCCUGGGGAGUACGGCCGCAAGGUUGAAACUUAAAGGAAUUGGCGGGGGAGCACCACAAGGGGUGGAUGCUGCGGUUUAAUUGGAUUCAACGCCGGGAAUAUCACCGGGAGCGACGGCAGUAUGAAGGUCAGACUGAAGAUCUUACCUGACGAGCCGAGAGGUGGUGCAUGGCCAUCGUCAGCUCGUGCUGUGAAGUGUCCGGUUAAGUCCGGUAA